CAAUACGGAAGGUACACGAGUGGCGCACGGGUGCGUAACGCGUAUGUAAUCUGCCCUUGACCGGAACAAAACAGCUGGAAACGGCUGCUAAUAUUCCAUGGUCAUUUUCGGAGGCAUCUCUGGGGAUGUAAAGAUUUAUUGGUCAAGGAUGAGCAUGCGUAUUAUUAGAUAGUUGGUGGGGUAACGGCCCACCAAGUCGACGAUGAUUAGGGGUUCUGAGAGGAUUAACCCCCACACUGGAACUGAGACACGGUCCAGACUCCUACGGGAGGCAGCAGUAGGGAAUAUUGGGCAAUGGAAGGAAUUCUGACCCAGCCAUGCCGCGUGAAGGAAGACGGUCCUAUGGAUUGUAAACUUCUUUUAUCGCAGAGUAAAUUGGGGCACGUGUGCCCCCAUUGAGAGUAUGCGAUGAAUAAGUAUCGGCUAACUCCGUGCCAGCAGCCGCGGUAAUACGGAGGAUACGAGCGUUAUCCGGAUUUAUUGGGUUUAAAGGGUGCGCAGGCGGAUCGGUAAGUCAGGGGUGAAAAGUUCGUGCUUAACAUGAAUCGUGCCUUUGAUACUGCCGGACUAGAGUGCAAUAGACGUGGGCGGAAUGUGAUGUGUAGCGGUGAAAUGCUUAGAUAUGUCACAGAACACCGAUCGAGAAGUCAGCUCACGAGUUUGCAACUGACGCUCAUGCACGAAAGCGUGGGGAUCAAACAGGAUUAGAUACCCUGGUAGUCCACGCUGUAAACGAUGAUCACUCGUUGUUGGCCGGCGACGGUCAGUGGCCAAGCGAAAGCGAUAAGUGAUCCACCUGGGGAGUACGAUCGCAAGGUUGAAACUCAAAGGAAUUGACGGGGGCCCGCACAAGCGGAGGAGCAUGUGGUUUAAUUCGAUGUUACGCAAGGAACCUUACCCGGGCUUGAACGUAAGACGACGACGCAGGAGACUGCGUUUCCUUCGGGCGUUUUGCGAGGUGCUGCAUGGUUGUCGUCAGCUCGUGCCGUGAGGUGUUAGGUUAAGUCCUGCAACGAGCGCAACCCUUACUUUUAGUUGCCAGCAUGUAAAGAUGGGGAC
rnacentral:rRNA from 1 species